rnacentral:rRNA from 1 species
CUAGCGACUCCGACUUCAUGGGGUCGAGUUGCAGACCCCAAUCCGAACUGAGACCGGCUUUUUGGGAUUCGCUCCACCUCGCGGUAUCGCAGCCCUUUGUACCGGCCAUUGUAGCAUGCGUGAAGCCCAAGACAUAAGGGGCAUGAUGAUUUGACGUCAUCCCCACCUUCCUCCGAGUUGACCCCGGCAGUCUCCUAUGAGUCCCCACCAUCACGUGCUGGCAACACAGGACAAGGGUUGCGCUCGUUGCGGGACUUAACCCAACAUCUCACGACACGAGCUGACGACAACCAUGCACCACCUGUACACCGACCUUACGGGGAGCACAUCUCUGCACUUUUCCGGUGUAUGUCAAGCCUUGGUAAGGUUCUUCGCGUUGCAUCGAAUUAAUCCGCAUGCUCCGCCGCUUGUGCGGGCCCCCGUCAAUUCCUUUGAGUUUUAGCCUUGCGGCCGUACUCCCCAGGCGGGGCACUUAAUGCGUUAGCUGCGGCACGGAACCCGUGGAAUGGAUCCCACACCUAGUGCCC